ACACUCGAGCUUUGAGUUCUUCAUGGCCAGGUAUAUAGCGGAGACUUCAGAUGACAGGCCAGUUCCCUCUGUAUCUAAAUAACAAUAGUAAAUAUACAAAACCUUAGUUCAGAACUUAUUCAACUGUCGAUGUACUGGAAUCAUAUGAGAUAUCAGUUUUGUGGAAAUUAAUUAUGUCUCACCUGAUAUUCUCUCAUCCGCAGUGGAUGUAAAAGUUUUAAAGUCGAUGGUUGAGUACCCUGUUGCAUUAUCUUGGAAUGAGGCCUGCUCGUCGUUCCGGAAUGAUUUGACGAAGUUAACUGCAUCCAUGAUACAAAAGCUCAGUUAUGAGGGAUGACCUGUGACCUUAUUUCAAUAUCAAAGACAAAUUAACUUGACAAGAUAUUAGCUUUCAAUGAAUAACCCACCUCCGCUGUCAAUUUCUGCUCCAGAUA
rnacentral:lncRNA from 1 species